rnacentral:rRNA from 1 species
GGUUGCGAUCAUACCAGCACUAAUGCACCGGAUCCCAUCAGAACUCCGCAUAUCAAGCGUGCUUGGGCGAGAGUAGUACUAGGAUGGGUGACCCCCCUGGGAAGUCCUCGUGUUGCAACCC